rnacentral:rRNA from 1 species
GAUGAACGCUGGCGGCGUGCCUAAUACAUGCAAGUCGAGCGAACAGACGAGGAGCUUACUCCUCUGACGUUAGCGGCGGACGGGUGAGUAACACGUGGAUAACCUACCUAUAAGACUGGGAUAACUUCGGGAAACCGGAGCUAAUACCGGAUAACAUGUUGAACCGCAUGGUUCAACAGUGAAAGACGGUUUUGCUGUCACUUAUAGAUGGAUCCGCGUCGCAUUAGCUAGUUGGUAAGGUAACGGCUUACCAAGGCAACGAUGCGUAGCCGACCUGAGAGGGUGAUCGGCCACACUGGAACUGAGACACGGUCCAGACUCCUACGGGAGGCAGCAGUAGGGAAUCUUCCGCAAUGGGCGAAAGCCUGACGGAGCAACGCCGCGUGAGUGAAGAAGGUCUUCGGAUCGUAAAACUCUGUUAUUAGGGAAGAAAAAAUGUGUAAGUAACUAUGCACGUCUUGACGGUACCUAAUCAGAAAGCCACGGCUAACUACGUG